AACGAACGCUGGCGGCAUGCCUAACACAUGCAAGUCGAACGAGACCUUCGGGUCUAGUGGCGCACGGGUGCGUAACGCGUGGGAACCUGCCCUUAGGUUCGGAAUAACUCCCCGAAAGGGGUGCUAAUACCGGAUAAUGUCUUCGGACCAAAGAUUUAUCGCCUUUGGAUGGGCCCGCGUUGGAUUAGCUAGUUGGUAGGGUAAAAGCCUACCAAGGCGACGAUCCAUAGCUGGUCUGAGAGGAUGAUCAGCCACACUGGGACUGAGACACGGCCCAGACUCCUACGGGAGGAAGCAGUGGGGAAUAUUGGACAAUGGGCGAAAGCCUGAGCCAGCAAUGCCGCGUGAGUGAUGAAGGCCUUAGGGUUGUAAAGCUCUUUUACCCGGGAUGAUAAUGACAGUACCGGGAGAAUAAGCUCCGGCUAACUCCGU
rnacentral:rRNA from 1 species